rnacentral:rRNA from 1 species
GACGAACGCUGGCGGCGUGCCUAAUACAUGCAAGUCGAACGCAGUGGGGACGGGUGAGUAACACGUGGGUAACCUCCCAUCAGAGGGGAUAACACUUGGAAACAGGUGCUAAACCGAUACUGAUGGAUGGACCCGCGGUGCAUUAGCUAGUUGGGGAGGUAACGGCUCAACAAGGCCACGAUGCAUAGCCGGCCUGGGGGGGUGACUGGCCACACGGGGAUGGUGAAACGGCCCAGACUCCUACGGGAGGCAGCAGUGGGGAAUCUUCGGCAAUGGACGAAAUUCUGACCGGGAAAGGCCGGGUGAGGGAAGAAGGUUUUCGGAUCGUAAAACUCUGUUGUUAGAGAAGCGGUAUCUAACCAGAAAGCCACGGCUAACUACGUGCCAGCAGCCGCGGUAAUAC